rnacentral:rRNA from 1 species
UACAGAGGUCCCAAGCGUUGUUCGGAUUCACUGGGCGUAAAGGGUGCGUAGGCGGGUCUUUAAGUCAGGGGGGAAAUCCUGGAGCUCAACUCCAGAACUGCCUUUGAUACUGAAGAUCUUGAGUUCGGGAGAGGUGAGUGGAACUGCGAGUGUAGAGGUGAAAUUCGUAGAUAUUCGCAAGAACACCAGUGGCGAGGGCGGCUCACUGGCCCGAUACUGACGCUGAGGCGCGAAAGCGUGGGGAGCAAACAGG